rnacentral:misc_RNA from 1 species
AACGCACCUUGCGCUCUUUGGCCAUUCCAAAGAGCAUGCCUGUUUGAGUGUCAUUUGAAUCCUCAAGGCCCCCCUCGCCCUUCGCGGCUUUGGGGGCUUUGGAUGUGGGAGUGCUGCGGGGGGACCUCUUUUGGCUCCCCCGCUCUCCUCAAACGCAUCAGUAGGGCCUUCUCCCUCUCGGGUCUUUGCGGCGUUGAUAGUCGUCUACGCCUCAGCCCGUCGGGGUCCCCACCUGCUUCCAAAACCCAACAAAUGAUAACCCCUUUGACCUCAAAUCAGGUAGGACUACCCGCUGAACUUAA